UUUGAUUAUGGCUCAGAUUGAACGCUGGCGGGAUGCUUUACACAUGUAGUCGAACAGCCUGGACUUCGGUCUGGUGGCGAGUAACGAACAGGUGAGUAAUGUAUCAGGACGAUGCCUAGUAGCGGGGAUAACUGCGCGAAAGCGUAGCUAAUACCGCAUACGCCCUUCGGGGGAAAGCGGGGACCUUCGGGCUCUGCUAUUAGAGCAGCCGAUAUCGGAUUAGCUGGUGGUGGGGUAACAGCUCACAAGGCGACGAUCCGUAACUGGUUUGAGAGGACGACCAGCCACGCAGGACUUCGAGACACGGCCCAGACUCCUACGGGAGAGCAGCAGUGGGGAAUUUUUGGACAAUGGGGAAACCCUGAAUCCAGCCAUCCCGCGUGUGCGAUGAAGGCCUUCAGGUUGUAAACACUUUGGCAGGAAAGAAACGGCACGGGAUAUUACCCCGUGCAACUGACGGCUACCACGCAGAAUAAGCACCGGCUAACUACGUGCCCAGCGGCGCGGUAAUACGUAGGGUGCAAGCGCGAUUAAAUCGGAAUUACUGGGCGUAAAGCGUACACAAACAGUUCAGGAAAAAAGAAAGAUGUGAAAUCCCAGGAAACGCUUUGGAACUGCAUUUUUAACUGCCGAGCUAGAGUGUGUCAGGGAGGUGGAAUUCCGCUGUAGCGGUGAAAUGCGUAGAUGCGGAGGAGGAACACCGAUGGCGAAGGCGACAUCACCGAGGAUAACGCGGCAGCUCAUGCACGAAAGCGUGGGGAGCAAACAGGAUUAGAUGCCACCAAGUAGUCCGCCUAAACGAUGUCAACUAGCAGCUGUUGGGGCCUUCAGGCCUUGGUAGCCCGCAACUAACAGCGACCGCCUGGGAAAUACAGUCGCAAGAUUAAAACUCAAAGAUUGACGGGGACCGCGCAAGCGGUGGAUGAUGUGGAUUAAUUCGAUGCAACGCAGAAAAACCUUACCUACCCUUGACAUGUCUGGAAUCCGAAGGGGCCCAGGAGUGCUCGCAAGAGAACCGGAACACAGGUGCUGCAUGGCUGUCGUCAGCUCGUGUCUCUCCGUGAGAUGCUGAGUUCAGAUCCCUGUAAACACCAACCGCCGUCCAUUGAUUUGCUACGAAGGGCACUCUAAUGAGACUGCCGGUGACAAACCGGAGGAAGGUGGGGAUGACGUCAAGUCCUCAUGGCCCUUAUGGGCAGGGCUUCACACGUCAUACAAUGGUCGGAGACAGAGGUCGCCAACCCGCGAGGAGGAGCCAAUCCCAGAAACCCGAUCGUAGUCCGGAUCGCAGUCUGCAACUCGACUGCGUGAAGUCGAAUCGCUGUGUGGAUCAGCAUGUCGCGGUGAAUACGUUCCCGGGUCUUGUACACACCGCCCGUCACACCAUGGGAGUGGUUUUACCAGAAGUAGUUAGCCUAACCGUAAGGAGGGCGAUUACCACGGUAGGAUUCAUGACUGGGGUGAAGUCGUAACAAAGGUAG
rnacentral:rRNA from 1 species